rnacentral:lncRNA from 1 species
AUAUUUAAUGAUAGAUUUGAGAUAGUGGGGGAAAAUAGUGGGUGUAAUAGUGUUUAUAUUAUUAUAGAAUGGAGAUAGUGAAAGAAUGUAGUGGGUGUAGUAGUGUUUUAUAUUAUAAAAAGUUACUAUAUUUGGAAUGUAUAGAAAUGAUGGGACGUCCCAAAAAGGAAACUGUAUAGAAAUGAGUGGGACGGAGGGA